rnacentral:rRNA from 1 species
UGGUUAAGUACGUGGCAGCAGCCGCGGUAAUACGUAGGCAGCGAGCGUUGUUCGGAGUUACUGGGCGUAAAGGGUGUGUAGGCGGCUUUAUAAGUUUGGUGUGAAAUCUCCCGGCUCAACCGGGAGGGUGCGCCGAAAACUGGGAGGCUAGAGUGUGGGAUGGGAGAGUAGAAUUCCUGGUGUAGCGGUGAAAUGCGUAGAUAUCAGGAGGAAUACCGGUGGUGUAGACGGCUCUCUGGACCACAACUGACGCUGAAACACGAAAGCGUGGGUAGCAAACAGGAUUAGAUACCCUGGUAGUCCACGCCCUAAACGAUGCAUAUUUGGUGUAGGUCAUUCAGUUGAUCUGUGCCGGAGCUAACGCGUUAAAUAUGCCGCCUGGGGAGUACAGUCGCAAGGCUGAAACUCAAAGGAAUUGACG